UGGAGGUUUUUUAAACAGAGGCUGGAUGGCCAUCUGUUGAGAGCGCUUUGUGUAUUCCUCCAUGGCAGAAUGGGGUUAGACUGGAUGGCCCUUGAGGUCUCUUCCAACUCUGGGAUUCUGUUGUUCAAGCUCACUUCUGCCAAUUCACUUUCCCUGUUUUGUCCAAGGGGUCUGACACUUUCGCAGUAGGUAAAUGUUUCCCAAGAACACAAGAUCUAAAUCUUCCAGAGUCAAACCCUGGUUCGCAAUACUGACAAUUCUGUGACCAGAAAAUAAGGCAAGGCUUUGGCUCAAAAGAAAGCGGAGCUGUAACCCACUAGAGCUCCUUGCAAAACAUGAGAGUUAAGAUUGUAGGUACAAGUGGAAGGGUUGGGGUAAGAGGCCGUUUGGGUUAAACGCACCUUAAAAAUAAGCUUGGAAUUCCCAUAUGGCUGGAAUUUUUCAGAAACGAGAGUGACACCGUUUAGCUUUCAAAUGAAACCAACAUAGUUAAUUUGGAAAUUUGUGGCUUCGGUGCCAAAGAGAAAAGCCUGCCAAGAAAGGUCCAGCACAGCCUUUCCUAACCUGUCCUCCAGGUCAUGCUGGGGAUGAUGAAAGCUGUAAUCCAGUAUCUCUCUCUCUCUCAGGUUGGCCUACAGAAAAUCUGACUGGGCCAGUUGUGGUUGUGGUGGUUACAGACUGGGAAAUGAGUCUCUCUCUUUCAGGAGCCUCCUUUGGGGUUUCCAAAGGCAAGCCUGCCCUGGACCUGACCCCCUUUCUUGCACCCGGACUCCCUGCAUAAUAAAGGAGGCAUCGAAAGGGCUCUUUUCAUUCCACACUUGAAAGGCCGGCGUUUUUAAUUGCAGGGCCCCUGGAAGCAGCUUCUCCACCCGUGGCACCCAGAGAAACAGCCGUGAGCCUCUGAUCUUCUUCUCCCGGCAGCAACAGAGGCAAUUAUUUUCAUGGGCCAAAGCAACUCCACAGCAAAGGUACCUCUUUCCUGACCAGUCCAGACUGGUCCAGACACACUUGACGUGUGUGCCUUACUGCCUACAAGUACUGGUUGCAGAAGUGCUCCAUCCAGCAAGAUGUGCACCACCUGGAACCAGGUUCUCUGGGACCUUCCACUUCCAAGCUCUCCGCCAUCCUUCUCACCCUGAAUGGUAGCACUAGACUGCACAGUCUCUUUAGCGCUGCCAGAGGGAGGCAAACCGACAGCAAUUGGAGAGGCAGGAAACACAUCUGUCAACCUGCUCUAAUGCCUGCUGCCGGAAGGCAGAUUCCAGAGAGCUGGAAGAGCAGCAGGGCCAAGCAAAGCACACACAUUCCCAGCCUGGCUUUGCCAUAGGACCAGCCUUGCAAGAAGAGGAAUUCGGCUCCAGUUGGACAAGUCACCAGGUGCUUCAAAGGCCAUUGCAGCAACAGGAGGAGGCUACAAAUCCAUCCAAGCGCCUUCUGGGAGGAGCUGAAGUCCAACAGGUGAGAAGGCCGGCCGGCCUGAAGGUUGUGGGAAGCCACACCGAUUCAUUAGUGCUCAGCCCUGCCUGCAAGCCACUCACCUUUUCCGAAUAAUGUUCGGCUGGAAGAGGUGGGUAAUCACAUUGCUCUAUCUUUUGGCAGAGGGAAAAUAGGUUCAUUUUAUCGCCGUAGAAGGGACUCUGAAGAGCAGCCAUCUGUUAAGAAAAAAACAAGAAGGGAAUGAGGCAGGAGAAUGUUCCCGGACUUUUAAUCAAAACCUCACUUGGAUCAGCAGCUAUGGGACAUAAUGUUGUGAAUGUGGAUAUUUUAAUGUGUUGUGGGCCGCUUUGAUUGUCUAGUCACAGAAAA